rnacentral:rRNA from 1 species
GAUGAACGCUGGCGGCGUGCCUAAUACAUGCAAGUCGAGCGAACGGACGAGAAGCUUGCUUCUCUGAUGUUAGCGGCGGACGGGUGAGUAACACGUGGAUAACCUACCUAUAAGACUGGGAUAACUUCGGGAAACCGGAGCUAAUACCGGAUAAUAUUUUGAACCGCAUGGUUCAAAAGUGAAAGACGGUCUUGCUGUCACUUAUAGAUGGAUCCGCGCUGCAUUAGCUAGUUGGUAAGGUAACGGCUUAACAAGGCAACUAUGCAUAGCCGACCUGAGAGGGUGAUCAGCCACACUGGAACUGAGACACGGUCCAGACUCCUACGGGAGGCAGCAGUAGGGAAUCUUGCGCAAUGGGCGCAAGCCUGACGGAGCAACGCCGCGUGAGUGAUGAAGGUCUUCGGAUCGUAAAACUCUGUUAUUAGGGAAGAACAUAUGUGUAAGUAACUGUGCACAUCUUGACGGUACCUAAUCAGAAAGCCACGGCUAACUACGUG